AGACCCGAAACCCGGUGAUCUAGCCAUGGGCAGGUUGAAGGUUGGGUAACACUAACUGGAGGACCGAACCGACUAAUGUUGAAAAAUUAGCGGAUGACCUGUGGCUGGGGGUGAAAGGCCAAUCAAACCGGGAGAUAGCUGGUUCUCCCCGAAAGCUAUUUAGGUAGCGCCUCGUGAAUUCAUCUCCGGGGGUAGAGCACUGUUUCGGCUAGGGGGCCAUCCCGGCUUACCAACCCGAUGCAAACUGCGAAUACCGGAGAAUGUUAUCACGGGAGACACACGGCGGGUGCUAACGUCCGUCGUGAAGAGGGAAACAACCCAGACCGCCAGCUAAGGUCCCAAAGUCAUGGUUAAGUGGGAAACGAUGUGGGAAGGCCCAGACAGCCAGGAUGUUGGCUUAGAAGCAGCCAUCAUUUAAAGAAAGCGUAAUAGCUCACUGGUCGAGUCGGCCUGCGCGGAAGAUGUAACGGGGCUAAACCAUGCACCGAAGCUGCGGCAGCGACACUCAGGUGUUGUUGGGUAGGGGAGCGUUCUGUAAGCCUGUGAAGGUGUGUCGUGAG
rnacentral:rRNA from 1 species